CGUCCGAAUCGUCACCCGUUUCUUUACGGUGUCGUCGGCGCUGCACCCCUAUCUCAGCACCAUCUAUCUGACCGAAGUGUCGGUGCCGACCGGUACCCGCGUCGACGACUAUCUGCAUCCCGAAUGGGGCAACCC
rnacentral:rRNA from 1 species